AAUAAUGAGUGCACUUUAUUGUGGCUCUAAAAUUUUCAAUAAAUUUCACCCAUUUUAAACCCAAAGCUGUUAUGUGUACCUCUUUUGGUAUAACAUCUCAGUAGUACGCAUCAUGUGGGAUCUUUUUCUCACAAGUUGCAUUACCCCCCCUUAUAAGUGACCCACUUUAUCUCAAUUACUCUAAAAUGUUUUAGGAAUGUAAAAAUGCCCCUUUAAUUAUAUAUAACUUUUAACAAUGGAUCUCUUGGCUCUCACAUCGAUGAAGAACACAGUGAAAUGUGAUAAGUAAUGUGAAUUGCAGAAUUCAGUGAAUCAUCGAAUCUUUGAACGCACCUUGCACCUUUUGGUUAUUCCGAAAGGUACACCUGUUUGAGUGUCAUGAAACCCUCUCAUUCCAAUUCUUUAUUUAUUUAAAGGGUUGUGAUAUGGAUGUUGAGUGCUGCCGUUAUUGGCUCGCUUUAAAUAUAUAAGUACUUUUAUUGAAAAAUAAAUGGAUUUACUUGGUGUAAUAUUUAUUAUUCAUUGAGGAGUGUGGUUUAAUUACUGCAGCCAUUUGCCUUUUGAUAGAUAGCUUCCGAACCCCCCAAUUAUAUGAAUUUAGACCUCAAAUCAGGUGGGACUACCCGCUGAACUUAAGCAUAUCAAUAAGCGGAGGAAAAGAAACUAACAAGGAUUCCCCUAGUAACGGCGAGUGAAGAGGGAAAAGCC
rnacentral:rRNA from 1 species